AUUGAACGCUGGCGGCAUGCCUUACACAUGCAAGUCGAACGGCAGCACGGGUGCUUGCACCUGGUGGCGAGUGGCGAACGGGUGAGUAAUACAUCGGAACGUACCUUAUCGUGGGGGAUAACGCAGCGAAAGCUGUGCUAAUACCGCAUACGCCCUGAGGGGGAAAGCGGGGGAUCGAAAGACCUCGCGCGAUUAGAGCGGCCGAUGCCCGAUUAGCUUGUUGGUGGGGUAAAAGCCCACCAAGGCGACGAUCAGUAGCUGGUCUGAGAGGACGAGCAGCCACACUGGGACUGAGACACGGCCCAGACUCCUACGGGAGGCAGCAGUGGGGAAUUUUGGACAAUGGGGGCAACCCUGAUCCAGCAAUGCCGCGUGAGUGAAGAAGGCCUUCGGGUUGUAAAGCUCUUUUGUCAGGGAAGAAACACCGGCUCUAACACAGUCCGGGAAUGACGGUACCUGAAGAAUAAGCACCGGCUAACUACGUGCCAGCAGCCGCGGUAA
rnacentral:rRNA from 1 species